rnacentral:rRNA from 1 species
UACAGAGGGGGCAAGCGUUAUUCGGAAUUAUUGGGCGUAAAGGGCGCGUAGGCGGCCUGGCAAGUGGAAGGUGAAAUCCCUCGGCUUAACCGAGGAACUGCCCUCCAAACUGCUUGGCUUGAGUCCGGGAGAGGUGAGUGGAAUUCCCAGUGUAGAGGUGAAAUUCGUAGAUAUUCGCAAGAACACCAGUGGCGAAGGCGGCUCACUGGCCCGAUACUGACGCUGAGGCACGAAAGCGUGGGGAGCAAACAGG